GAAUUCUCAUAGCGACCUGUGAAAAGUAUUCACCUAGCGAGGAGAAUUUUCGACAGGAGCGGAUCCAAUAUAUAUCCGGAAACUCGUCACGCCACCGUGGAAAUUCCUUAUUCAGCGACUUCCGAUUCGAUGACGUCACAAUCAAAAUGGCUGCGCCCAUGGUAAUGUUUACGAAGUUCCAGUGAGCUCCAACGUUAUCGCGAUUCGUUAUAGAGUGCAUGCAAUUAACUUGACAUUUCUAGGAUCCGAGGAAUACUUAAACAGAUACCUCCAGUUUCAAAGUAUCCAGUGUUAAUCAGUGUAUGAUUUAUUAUUUCAUCUGGUACAGAAAAAGUCAAACUGUGUUGUGUAUUGUCGUGCGGUGUUUUCAACUCGAGCUACCGUAAUCUUAUUUCAAAAGAUUAUCCAUCAGUUAUCUUCAGCACAUGAUUUUCAAAUUCUUCUGAAGGAAAUCAGGAAGGUUCAACAGGAAGACCAAGGUCAACAGAAAACGAAAGUGCGCGCGGCAGCAGCGAAUGCUGACACAGCAGAAAAUGAAGACUGGAAGAAAGAAUUGAAGGAAUUAGUGUCCAAGAUUGACAGGUUAGAACAGAAUAUUAAUUCUCAGCAGUACAAUUACCAAGAGUUAACAAGGAAGUUAAAUAACUUUGAAUUGCAAGAAAGCAAAGAGAAUACUGUUCCUUCUAAUGUAGAAAGAGGGUUACACAGACCUUUUAGAGGUAGAUAUAGAGGGUUCAGGAGAAGCCAAGGUAGAGGAUUCCAGGAAAACAAUUACAGAGGUCAAGGCAAUUUCAGAGGCCAAUGUAAUUCAGGCAGUGGUCAGA